UACGUAGGGGGCAAGCGUUGUCCGGAAUCAUUGGGCGUAAAGAGCGUGUAGGCGGCCAGAUAAGUCCGCUGUGAAAUCUCGAGGCUCAACUUCGAGCUGUCGGUGGAAACUGUCUGGCUAGAGUCCGGAAGAGGAGAAUGGAAUUCCUGGUGUAGCGGUGAAAUGCGCAGAUAUCAGGAAGAACACCGGUGGCGAAGGCGGCCCCCUGGACCGGUACUGACGCUGAGGCGCGAAAGCGUGGGUAGCAAACGGG
rnacentral:rRNA from 1 species